UGGCUCAGGAUGAACGCUAGCGGCAGGCUUAACACAUGCAAGUCGAGGGGCAGCGGGGAGGAAGCUUGCUUUCUCCGACGGCGACCGGCGCACGGGUGAGUAACACGUAUGCAACCUGCCCCUGUCAGGGGGACAACCCGCCGAAAGGCGGGCUAAACCCGCGUACAUGCCACCGGGGCAUCCCGGAGGCAGGAAAGGCUUCGGCCGGACAGGGAUGGGCAUGCGGCGCAUUAGGCAGUAGGCGGGGUAACGGCCCACCUAACCGACGAUGCGUAGGGGUUCUGAGAGGAAGGUCCCCCACACUGGUACUGAGACACGGACCAGACUCCUACGGGAGGCAGCAGUGAGGAAUAUUGGUCAAUGGUCGGGAGACUGAACCAGCCAAGCCGCGUGAGGGAUGAAGGUACAGAGUAUCGUAAACCUCUUUUGUCAGGGAACAAAGGCGGGGACGUGUCCCCGGAUGAGUGUACCUGAAGAAAAAGCAUCGGCUAACUCCGUGCCAGCAGCCGCGGUAAUACGGAGGAUGCGAGCGUUAUCCGGAUUUAUUGGGUUUAAAGGGUGCGCAGGCGGUCUGUUAAGUCAGCGGUCAAAGCCCGGGGCUCAACCCCGGCCCGCCGUUGAAACUGGCAGUCUCGAGUUGGAGAGAAGUAUGCGGAAUGCGCGGUGUAGCGGUGAAAUGCAUAGAUAUCGCGCAGAACUCCGAUUGCGAAGGCAGCAUGCCGGCUCCACACUGACGCUGAGGCACGAAAGCGUGGGUAUCGAACAGGAUUAGAUACCCUGGUAGUCCACGCAGUAAACGAUGAAUGCUGGCUGUCCGGGGGGGAUUGACCCCUGGGUGGCGAAGCGAAAGCGAUAAGCAUUCCACCUGGGGAGUACGCCGGCAACGGUGAAACUCAAAGGAAUUGACGGGGGCCCGCACAAGCGGAGGAACAUGUGGUUUAAUUCGAUGAUACGCGAGGAACCUUACCCGGGCUCAAACGGGGAGUGACUCAGGCAGAGACGCCUGUUUCCCACGGGACACUCCCCGAGGUGCUGCAUGGUUGUCGUCAGCUCGUGCCGUGAGGUGUCGGCUUAAGUGCCAUAACGAGCGCAACCCCCGCGUGCAGUUGCUAACAGAUAACGCUGAGGACUCUGCACGGACUGCCGGCGCAAGCCGCGAGGAAGGCGGGGAUGACGUCAAAUCAGCACGGCCCUUACGUCCGGGGCGACACACGUGUUACAAUGGGUGGUACAGCGGGAAGCCAGGCGGCGACGCCGAGCGGAACCCGAAAUCCACUCUCAGUUCGGAUCGGAGUCUGCAACCCGACUCCGUGAAGCUGGAUUCGCUAGUAAUCGCGCAUCAGCCAUGGCGCGGUGAAUACGUUCCCGGGCCUUGUACACACCGCCCGUCAAGCCAUGGGAGCCGAGGGCGCUUGAAGUGCGUCGCCGCGAGGCGCGCCCUAGAGCGAAAUCGGUGACUGGGGCUAAGUCGUAACAAGGUA
rnacentral:rRNA from 1 species